UACGGGGGGGGGCAAGCGUUGUUCGGAAUUACUGGGCGUAAAGGGCUCGUAGGCGGCCUUCUAAGUCAGACGUGAAAUCCCCCGGCUUAACCUGGGAACUGCGUCUGAUACUGGGAGGCUAGAGUGCGGGAGAGGGAUGCGGAAUUCCAGGUGUAGCGGUGAAAUGCGUAGAUAUCUGGAGGAAUACCGGUGGCGAAGGCGGCAUCCUGGACCGACAUUGACGCUGAACGGCGAAAGCUAGGGGAGCAAACGGG
rnacentral:rRNA from 1 species